GUAAGAGAGAUGAAGCCAGUAGGAAUCAGAUUCACUCUACACAGAGACCAGUACAGCACAGAGAUCCAGCCAUGGCACCAACAAUCACUUCAGCUGUGAUCUACUCUAAUGAGCACCUGACUCUGAUCAACAAGAAAGCCAGUGGUGGAAAAGUUACGCAGAGAUCGUUUCAACAACAGCAUAGAGCAGAUCAAGUCUCUCCUGGGUCCAGAGAUCCUCAACCAGCAGCCAGACUCCAAGCUGGAGAAAGCCGACAUCUUGGAGAUGACAGUUUGCUUCCUGAGACGACAGCAACAGAACCAGCCAGUGAGCUCCUCCUCCUGCUCUGCAGCUGUCAAUCCGGGUUACUCCAGGUGUGUCCAAUAGAUUGUGCACUUCCUGUCCAAGGAUGAGGUGAAGACACAGACCCAGAGAAGACUGCUGAGCCACUUCCAGAGCCUGCAUCCAUCCUCUGAUAAGAACAGGAGGGAGAGUGACCUGCCUCAGUUCAGCUCCCAAACCCAGUUCAGAAUCAGCAAAGAGAAGAGUCCAGUCAACAUCGCCCUCUGGAGGCCCUGGUAGAGUCCUACAGACUAAAGCUCAAUGGACCAUGUUGGUCUAACAUUAAUGUGAUGGACAGUGAUCAGAGAUCUUCUUCAUAUUAUGCGUGUGCAGGUUGUUUUAAAAGUUGUUUUAAAAGUUGUGUUUCAAUUGAAACUUUUCAUUUCAGUUGUACUGAACAAGUAAAACAAAGCUUUUUUGUCUACGAACAUCGCAUUUUUGUGAUGUUAAUAACUUUGAUGUUUUGUGAAGCAUGUGUUGAUUAUGUGUUUAUUCAUGAUUGACAUCAACUUCAAUGGUCCUCCAUGAGGACUUUUAACCCAAAAUGGAUAUUUUAUCUUCAAUCAUUUUUGAUUGUCUAUAGAGGCCCACAGCGGAGGUGUCAUAAUACCCACCAUUUAUUUUUCCCAUAGACGAUUUUAGAAACACAAAAGAUAAGGGCUGCGUUUUGUGUAGGCUUACCCUGGCAUAACGUUUUGACAACCAUUUGUCUCUCGGACAAGGCGACUUUUAUCUGUAUUUGCUCUCAGAUUCAAAAAUGACAAUCAGCAUCAAAGUAGACAUCAUGCAAAACUACAAAUCCCUGCAAGCUCCUGCACGUCAUCUCUAGCGGACACAUUUGCUAACAGUUAUUGUGUCAAUUUAAAACUUGCACAAAAGAGAAAUGUAGCAUAAAGAAAUGUAGCCAAUGUAGCCAAUGUAUUCAUUAGUACAUUUAGCUAACAUUAGAUAGGUAACCCAGAAAUUCUUACCUUUGCCUCGAUUCGUCAGUCUGGUCCAGAUCAUCAUGGCAUUUGUAGUUAUUUAUGAUAGCCACAUUAGCAGCUGAUUAGCAUUUAAUUUGGGGGGAAAAUGCAGGAAAAUAUAUUGAUGAAAAUCACCUUGUCCUAGAUAUAUAUUCAUGGUUAUCAAAAUGUCACACCAGGGUAAGACUACAUGUUUAAGUGUUUCUAAAAUCCCUUACGGGAAAAAUGAAUGUUGUAAAAACAAUUGGAACCAUUUCGCUGCUUGACCCCCUAGGUUUUUAUGGGUGUUAUGACUCAGACUGUUGCACUCCAUUAUCGAUCUUUGUAAAGGUCAACUCGUAUUGAAGAAUAAGCAAUUUUGUUACAACUUUGUUGUAAUGAUAUGGUCAUAUUAACAUUAUAUUGAGCAUCUCCUGUGAGGUUUGUAUCAGUUAAACAUUUGUUAUUGAUCAACUUGAGCUACAGAAUCACUGAUUCUCCAAGAUGAUUAUUUACCCAAACUGGGAAUUGUACCUGUUAUCAUCACUCUGUGAUUAGAAAUCAAUGAAAAGUUUAAAGAUCAGACCUUGUGUGGGAAAAUGUUGCCCACAUUAUUUUAAUAAUGUGGAUAUUGUAAAGGGGAGAAAAUGUUCUCUCAUUAUUUUUUUUUAUAGACAAUAUGUUGUCUUUUAUAAAGACAGUAAAUGUCCUAUACUCUGUUAGAGUAUCAUAUGUCUUGGAGAUUGAUCCAAGUUCUGGUUGUGAUGUGUAAUCACCUAAACUAUUCACCUUAUAUUUAGGUGUUCAAGUCUAUGAUGCGACUCCUUGAGGCAAUAUCAAUAAAUCCCAAAAAUAAU